rnacentral:rRNA from 1 species
CUUACCUACCCUUGACAUGUCUGGAAUGCCGAAGAGAUUUGGCAGUGCUCGCAAGAGAACCGGAACACAGGUGCUGCAUGGCUGUCGUCAGCUCGUGUCGUGAGAUGUUGGGUUAAGUCCCGCAACGAGCGCAACCCUUGUCAUUAGUUGCUACGAAAGGGCACUCUAAUGAGACUGCCGGUGACAAACCGGAGGAAGGUGGGGAUGACGUCAAGUCCUCAUGGCCCUUAUGGGUAGGGCUUCACACGUCAUACAAUGGUCGGGACAGAGGGUCGCCAACCCGCGAGGGGGAGCCAAUCCCAGAAACCCGAUCGUAGUCCGGAUCGCAGUCUGCAACUCGACUGCGUGAAGUCGGAAUCGCUAGUAAUCGCGGAUCA